GACGAACGCUGGCGGCGUGCCUAACACAUGCAAGUCGAACGGAACUGUUUUGAAAGAUUUCUUCGGAAUGAAUUUGAUUUAGUUUAGUGGCGGACGGGUGAGUAACGCGUGAGUAACCUGCCUUCAAGAGGGGGAUAACAUUCUGAAAAGAAUGCUAAUACCGCAUGAUAUAUCGGAACCACAUGGUUUUGAUAUCAAAGAUUUUAUCGCUUGAAGAUGGACUCGCGUCCGAUUAGUUAGUUGGUGAGGUAACGGCUCACCAAGACCGCGAUCGGUAGCCGGACUGAGAGGUUGAACGGCCACAUUGGGACUGAGACACGGCCCAGACUCCUACGGGAGGCAGCAGUGGGGGAUAUUGCGCAAUGGGGGCAACCCUGACGCAGCAACGCCGCGUGAAGGAUGAAGGUUUUCGGAUUGUAAACUUCUUUUAUUAAGGACGAAACUUGACGGUACUUAAUGAAUAAGCUC
rnacentral:rRNA from 1 species